AACUCUGUAGCUCAGAGGAUAGAGCGCAAGGCUCAUAACACUUGAAACAUAGAAUUUAGAGAGAUACAUACAUACCGUAGUAUUUUAAACCUUGAGGUCGCUGGAUCGAAACUAGCCAGAGUUA
rnacentral:tRNA from 1 species